UACGGAGGAGGCAAGCGUUAUCCGGAAUUAUUGGGCGUAAAGCGUCCGUAGGUGGCUAGGCAAGUCUGCGGUCAAAGACUGGGGCUUAACCCUGGAAAGGCCGUGGAAACUGACGAGCUAGAGUGCAGUAGGGGUAGAGGGAAUUCCCGGUGUAGCGGUGAAAUGCGUAGAGCUCGGGAAGAACAUCGGUGGCGAAAGCGGCUCACUGGACCGUCACUGACGCUGAGGUGCGAAAGCUAGGGUAGCAAACGGG
rnacentral:rRNA from 1 species